AUGAACGCUGGCGGCGUGCUUAACACAUGCAAGUCGAACGAUUAAAGCUCACUUCGGUGAGUGUAUAGAGUGGCGAACGGGUGAGUAACACGUGGGAAACCUGCCCCUUUCUUCGGGAUAACUUCGGGAAACCGUUGCUAAUACCGGAUACUCCGGGAUGGUCGCAUGGCCGACCCGGGAAAGCUUUAUGUGGAAAGGGAUGGUCCCGCGGCCCAUUAGCUAGUUGGUAGGGUAAUGGCCUACCAAGGCAACGAUGCAUAGCCG
rnacentral:rRNA from 1 species